rnacentral:lncRNA from 1 species
CAGGAGCUUUCACCAUGGGACCGCAUCUCUAAUGCUGAAAAGCAGCUGAAAAUACCCAGGACCACCUGAUUCUCUGACUCAGUGGGACUCAACCCCUGACCUCAGGGGAGUUUCCUGAGCCAUGAAGGAAGACUUGAGCUGAGCACAGAAGGAAACAUGGGAAAGGAUGUUGGUUAUUAUUUUCCCAGCUAUUAUCCUGACCUGAUUACUCUUGUCAUUAUGGGCUCUCACUAAAGCUCAGUUGAGGAUAACACUAAAUGCUACCGAGAAUAACUUCAGAUUCCUCGGAUCCCAUGUUCCUGCAUUAGGUAUUCACACAGAUUAUGGAAGCAGCAAGGCUCCCUUCUGUGAACCACAUGGAUGAAAUGCUCAGCCUCCCUGGGCUGGGAGCCACGCACAGCUGAGAAACACCUUGGGCCCUGAAGCCAGAGCUGGCCACUACGGUACCUCUUCUUUAGAUUCUUCCUCCUGUCCCCAUUUCUUGAGUCUGUCUUUCUCCACACGUUAGCUCCUUCCCCAGGGGGU